rnacentral:lncRNA from 1 species
ACCAACACUGGCAAAUCCAAAAUGCUGCUUUGCAAACCUGUCACGCAUCCAUAUGCACAGACAAUGGUACCUCACACGCCUACAACAGAUUCUUAAUAAUGGUCCCAGCGAGUGCAGCAACCAUCUCCUGUGAUUUUAGGGUGCUGUGAUCCAGCCUGGAGAAGGAGCGUAAAAUUAGUAAAUCACUGCCCAAAGUGGCCCAGAACAAAAGCCAGUUUAUUUGAGAAGAGUUCAGAGUGCGCUAUGGACAGAGAACGCGAGGCCAUCACGUUCUGCCUCAAGCCCCGCGAUAAAGUAGCCUCCUGUGCUGCCUGCUGAGGAUUAUGGAGAAAGUGUGAGUGCAAUACUAGGUGUUGCCCAGGGAAUACUUGUAAACUUGGUAAGCUCCUGCUGGUUUUUAAUGCUACUUAAGUGGUAGUUAAGAAUCAAAGAGGCUUAUGCACACAGGAUGGAGUUCUCAUUUUGUCUUCAAUAAUAAGUGGUAAACAAUACUGAAUACAGCAGCUAAAUGCCUCUUUAUUAUGAGGCACUGGAAGAUUCAAACCAAAUUAACUGUCGUGUUACACACCGCUGCAU